rnacentral:snRNA from 1 species
AUAUUUUAUUAGUCUUCAAUAAAACAUUUUCAAAUCUGUUCUUAUCAGCUUGAUAUCUGAUACGGUUUCCAUCGGAGACCUUCGAUAUUAACCUGAUUUUUGGAAUUGGGCGGGAAAGGGGGCUUGCUCCCUCCCCGCCGCGGGUUGCUCAGGCCUGGCACUAUCGCCUGAGACAGCCCACCCCCC